GAGACUGUCGUUAACCAAGUAACUACACUUUACGAUGUUAAUUAUUUACUAAUUAUGUUAUAAAAUUAGGUGACAUCCCGUUUCCUACUAUUUUCUUGUAUUGUUCGUCUGUGAUUUUAAUUUAGCUUUUGUCGUAAUGUUAAACGUAUUGUUUUGCCUGGUUUACAUUCAUCAACUUUAAGCCAACACAACAGCAGUUAGGUAAACCAGUUCCUGUUCCUCAAAAAUGAAAGUCAUAACAUCCGUCUUUUCGGUGUAAUUUUGUAGGAUUUAAACCUUAUCACUGCAAAGAUGUCAUGGUUAAAAAAACGUGGGCAAACAGCCAGCCCCAAUCCUUUAGCUGCACCACCUGUUCAAAUGUACAACCCGAAUCAACAUUCCAAUUUGCAGACUCAAUGGCAACAUCAAGAUCUUCAGGCUCCAUCUAGUAAUAAUUGGUAUUCACAAACGCAGCCAAAUCAGCAAUCUUUACAACAGCCUCCUUAUUCGCAGCCUGUUUUACAACCAAAUAACUGGAAUCGUUCGUAUAUACAACAACCCACAAAUACAUACAAUCCGAAUCCUACUAAUCAAUAUACUGAACAAUACUCUUCAUAUAAUUCUUCAUAUUCUAAUGAAAAUAGUAGCUAUCAACAAACAAAUUACGCAAAUCAACAGCCACAGAAUCCCACGUAUAAUUAUACUCAAACUUCGGAACCACAAUCAAAUGUUAAUACUGAUAGUUGGAAUUGGGGAUGGGGCGAUGAAGAUAAUUCUAAUGUUCAAAAUUUACCGCAGGCAAAUUCUACUUUAAAUGUUAACCAUGUCGAAAGUUCUAAUGAAGAAACAUGGAACUGGACCGUAGAAGAUAGUAAUACAAAUUCUAGUGAUGUACAUGCUUUAGAUAGUCAUUCUUCCACUAGCACUAAUAAAAAUUCUGCGCAUCAAAAUACGCAACAUACAGCUUCUCAACCUAGUGUCUUUCCACAAAUGGGAAAAUUGGCGGAGAAACAUUCACAGUCGACAGAUGUGUAUUCCCAGGAUUCCAAUUGUGAAAGUAGUUUAAACCAACAUUCGUUGGCUUAUUCUGAUCAUCCAACUCUUAAUCAAGCUGUAAUCUCAUCUACAUUAAAACAUAAUAAAAUUGAUCAUUUAACACCUCAGUGGUCCACAGAAUCACAAAUGUCACAAGAUUCUUCUGAUCUCCUACAUACUUCUGAAAGUGACAAAAGUCAUAUGUUGUCUCGAAGCUCAACUAUUAGCGAGUCACCGGUUUCUGGCCACGAUAUCAAUUCAGAAAAUGUGAUAAGACAAGAAUCACCGCAAAGUCGGCAUCAUGAAACUUCUAACGUUAUGACCGAAACAUCUUCAUCUGACAGUGUAUCGAUGAAUUAUUAUCGACAAGAUGCUUACAGUUUACACCAGGAAAACAAGGAAGACAUUUCUGGAUUACAGGAAGAAUUAAAGCAAUAUAAAGGCAACUCGACUAUUCCUCCUCCUCCUAUGACAAAUCAGACACCCCCUCAUGUUUUACCACUCACAGAUGAUAAGCCUAAAAAUCCAUAUAAACUAAACACAGGUCUAUCUCACAAAUCUGCCAGUAAACAUAAUUUAGAGCCUAGACAAUCUGGAAAUCCAAUUCAUCAAUCAAAGUAUCCCGUAUCACAAAGCCCCUUUAACCAAUUGGUUAAUUUGGAAACUUUACCUGACAAUGCAGAACAACCAGACACAAUUUCUCACAUUUCUAAGAAAGUAGCAGUAAAACCAUCAGUACACCAGUGGCCCGACAACAAUGAGGUUGCACCAAUAAAUGAUCGAAAUCAAUAUUUGGAAACAGGACAGCUCUCAAACAAUGAAUGUAAUCAGCCUCGCUCGUCUUCGCUAAACGAUACGUCUGAUUUAAUACCACCUCCUGGUUUCACCCGAAUGGUUUUAGGGCAAAUGGAACAAACUGAUAAUCUAGGAAACCAAGAUGAACCACCACCGGGACUCAGUAGAAUGGUUUUGGGCGAAACGUGCGCCACUUCCUCAUUACCAAAACCAGAUAAUGCGGAACCGUUACACAGAAUGAUACCAGGUGGUUCAAGUUCUCCAAAGCCCAGAUACCAGCCUUCGAGUUAUCCUGCGCCCAAGUUUGGGAACACACCACCACCACCAGAAUCCGAUUUAAAUGUCCAUGUUCCAAAUCAAAUCCGUUCAGCUACUAUUGGAGCAGAUACACCAUCUGUUACUACAAAUGUUGUUACUGGUGCUUCUAUCGCUAAUCGUUCAAUGACUAUCGGUGCUGAUAUUACAAUGCCUUACAGUAGUACUAAUUUAGAAAGCACUAAACCAAGCAGCAAAGUACCUAGUGCCUCAAGUAACUUUAACAACAAUAUACGAGAGACUAAUUUAGAAGGUGCUAGUAACUUAGAUGAAAAAAUCACUACUCCUGUGGUAGCCAGACGAGAUUCGAUUGAAGGUGAAACUCAGGAUAACUCUGUGACUAAUUUAGUUAAUUCUAUUAGAGACCUUAACGUCGGUGAAAAUUUAAAUAACAGUACCAACUCCACGUUGCCGAUAACUGAAAGGAACACAAGAAGACCGAGUAAACAGGAAAGUACGGAUAGCGAGCAAGAAAGUGUGGCACGUGAUCGAAAAGAGCGAAGAUACUAUGAAAAGCACGGUGAUUAUGAUAGGGAGAGAAAUAGAAGAUAUUCACCGUCACCGGAUAGAUACAGAGAGAAGAAAUAUGAGCGUACUAGGUACAGAGAUCCUCGCUAUGAUGAUGAUACGGAUUACUAUAGUGACAAGGACCGUGACAGGAAACGUGAUGAUAAAGAUAGGCGUGAAGAAUUAGAUAAGAAAUAUGGUAGUUUAAAACGGGAUAAAGAAAAGCGCAGGAAAGAGCAAAGGAAUUAUAGGGAUUACGGCAGAGAUGGUCAUAGAAAAGAUUAUUAUCAUCGAUAUGAAGAUGAAUACGAUGACCAUUCUAGGUCGAGGCCAUCCAGUCGCUCUGAUUCACUCCACGAUUCUUAUCGACAGGACCGUGAUCGCCAUCGUGAUAAAUAUAGGCGCCACAGAGAUCCAUACAAUAUGCCGUACAUGCAGGGUUACUCUUACGAUCCUUAUAAUCCGUAUUAUCAGCAAUAUCAAUAUCACUAUUUAGAAAAUUUAAGGCGAACAAAUCCGCAAGCCUACGCCGAAUGGUAUAGAAAAUAUUACCAACAGAGUAAUUCGCAGCAGAACUUUGGCAAUGAAGACAGGGCAUCUGUCCAUUCAGGGCGAAGUUCUGCGAAUGAAGAACUGUCUAAAGAUCGGUAUUCACGUCAGAGUUAUUACAACCAGGCGAGCUUGAACUACUACCGAGAGCCUCACAUUCAUAGCAUUUUAGACCAUUAUGCCCCCGACGAGUCUAGGCCGUUUGAUCAGACUGAUUCCUCACUUUACUUGGAAGACACAACUGGGGCAUCUCAAAGAUUGACUCCCGCUAAAUUUGCAACAGCACAUGUUAAAGCAUCGAUAUCAUCCGGACGACUUGUAAAGAUUUUUCCGCAUUAUCCGCUGGAUGGCCAGCCCGCCGUCGUGGAAGUUAAUAAUUUAAAAGAGCUUUUAGUUAAUGAUGACGAGUAUAAAGAGCUAGUCGAGUUCCCUGGACCGUUGAUAAAAGGGGUUACUCAUAAAAAGACGAUUAUAGAAUACUGCGAAAAUAAAAUAAGAAGCGCCAUAUAUAGUCGUGAUAUUGGAGAUGUGGAUUCUUACAUAUUAAUGUGGGAGCUGUUGAUCCUAUUGUUAAGGCAAAACGGGAUGGUUGUUGGAACGGAUAUAGCGGAACUAUUAAUGAAAGAUAAGAAGCAGGAAUACAGUCGAAAAGGUUCAAUCACCUCUAAUAGCAGUGAAGUAGUAGAAAGAGCGCUCUCUGAACCUAAUCUUCACACUGAUUUAACUGGCAGCUCCGCUUCUAUCUUAAAAGAGGAAGUUGUUACAAAUAAGUUUAGGGAACUUCUGAUUUAUGGUUCCGAGAAAGAAGCAUUAGAGUGGUCUAUGAAACAUGGACUAUGGGGACAUGCCCUAUUUUUAGCCAGUAAAUUGGAUAAACGGACAUAUGCAAAUGUAAUGACACGUUUUGCUAAUGGUUUAACUAUGAAUGAUCCUUUACAAACACUUUACCAGCUAUUAUCUGGAAAAAUUCCUGCUUCCGUUACAUGUGUUUCGGACGAAAAAUGGGGAGAUUGGAGGCCACAUCUGGCAAUGAUUCUUUCAAAUACGACGCAAAGACCGGAACUUGACAGAAAAGCCAUUAUGACAUUAGGUGAUACCUUGUUUGCCAGAAACAGCCUUUACGCUGCUCAGUUUUCAUAUCUUAUGGCGCAAGUCGAAUUUAGUAGGUACGGUACAGAAUCGCCCAAGCUGGUGCUGUUGGGAUCGAACCAUAAUAAACCGUUUAUGGAAUUUGCAAUUAAUGAAGCCAUUUUCAUGACUGAAGUCUAUGAGUAUGCAUGCAGCCUAAAUGACAACAAUUUUGUCAUACCAGAAUUUUUGCCUUACAAAUAUCUUCUUGCCACAAGAUUGGCUGACAGGGGACUGCUAGACAAAUCUUUGGCAUAUCUGGAAAAAAUCGCAGUGGCAGUUACACAGAACCCAGGUCUCGCGCAACCUACGCUUAUACACCAAGUUUGCACGUUAGGUGAUAGACUGAAAUAUUGUGAUAUCGUUGAAGAUGCGCUUGAGGGGGAUACAGAAUGUGACAACCGUCCAGAUACAACUUGGCUAAGAGAUUUGAAGGCUUUUGAGAAAAACAUCAAUAUUCAUUCUGCACCACUGGAUACUGUCGAAAAUUCUGAACUAAUGGCAGGUACUGAUCAAAAUCAAAUUCAUCAAUCUGCUUAUGACCAGUCGUGGCCGCAGCAAUAUGCAGAGGAGCAGUAUCAACAACAACAACAGUGGCAAUCAGGGCAGUAUGAUCAACAAAACAAUGCAGUGUAUCAACAAUCACAAUCUGUAGGUACAGAAGGUUAUACUUCAGAGUUGUAUCCCGAUCAACAUUCUUAUUGGACUCAUAAUCAAUUACCUGAGACUACAGACCAUGGACUGGAUUCGAAUACACAACAGCAGUUUCCUACUGAUUUGCAAUCAAAUAGUUUUUGGAAUAGUGCUCCAGCACAGCAUGAAGAAGUAGAAAAUCAGCCAAAUGAAGGCAUACCACAGAUAUCUAUGCCACAUCAAUCGAGAGAAAAUGCAGAACGUGACAACCAAGAAAACGUGCAGCACCAAGUUAAAAAGGAAAGUCCUAUUAAACAGAAAGCCCAAGAUAAAUCGGCGACAACAGGAUGGUUCGGCGGUAUAUGGAACAAGCUUUCCUUACGACCUAAAAAUCAAAUGAAACUACCCGAUGAUAAAAAUCCAUCGAUUGUGUGGGAUGAACAGAAAAAAAGGUGGAUAAAUUUAGAAUCUGAAGGUGAUGGCGCUGUGGCCGAAUUAAAACCGCCUCCAAAAAUGGCGGAUAUGUAUUCCGCGCCCAGUCAGGCUAUACCUACCAUUCCUGGCGCCGUAGCUCACGAUAACCUAUCGCAUGCACCUGGACAUCAAAUGGAACCUACUAGGCCAUUUUUGGAGAAUGGGAUGAUGCCUACUCAAAAUUCUGUUGGUAAUGCUAUACAUACCAAUAUGGCACAAGGACAAAAUGAAGUGCAUGAAAGACAUGAUGAUGGGCUACCAAAGACAGCACAACCAAAUAUGUUUAAACUGCAAAGAGGACGAAACAUAAAAAAAUCAUAUGUUGAUGUUUUUAAUCCAGGUGCGAAAUCUGCUGGAAAUGCUCCAUCUAUAGCCGCCCCUGAAACGUUUUCAUCAAUGCCUCCCAGUGGAUUACAGAUGAAUUAUUUUGUACCCGCUCCAGUUAGCGACCCUAACGCUCCUAUGGAUUUUUUAACGCCUGCGCCACUGCAACAGAUUGAUGAUAGUUCACAGAGAAAAGGUGUCAAAAGAUAUUAAAAUAUAUCUAGAUCGAGUUCUGCUAGUUCCUUAUCGAGGGAGGUUCAAUAUUACAUGCAGAAUAAAGAGCCUGUGCAUCGUUAACCUUUUGCUUUCAUUCAUUAGUUUGCAAUAAAAUUACUGUUUGCGUUACUGUCACACUACAUCUUGGGAUAUCAACGAGAAGCUGAACGGUGUAAAUAUCUUAUCUGAAGACUCACACAUGCUAUAUAAUAAUUAUGAUGGUACCGAA